UUAAGUUAUUAAGGGCGCACGGUGGAUGCCUUGGCACUAGAAGCCGAUGAAGGACGUUACUAACGACGAUAUGCUUUGGGGAGCUGUAAGUAAGCUUUGAUCCAGAGAUUUCCGAAUGGGGAAACCCAGCAUGAGUUAUGUCAUGUUAUCGAUAUGUGAAUACAUAGCAUAUCAGAAGGCACACCCGGAGAACUGAAACAUCUUAGUACCCGGAGGAAGAGAAAGAAAAUUCGAUUCCCUUAGUAGCGGCGAGCGAAACGGGAAGAGCCCAAACCAACAAGCUUGCUUGUUGGGGUUGUAGGACACUCUGUACGGAGUUACAAAGGACGACAUUAGACGAAUCAUCUGGAAAGAUGAAUCAAAGAAGGUAAUAAUCCUGUAGUCGAAAAUGUUGUCUCUCUUGAGUGGAUCCUGAGUACGACGGAGCACGUGAAAUUCCGUCGGAAUCUGGGAGGACCAUCUCCUAAGGCUAAAUACUCUCUAGUGACCGAUAGUGAACCAGUACCGUGAGGGAAAGGUGAAAAGCACCCCGGAAGGGGAGUGAAAUAGAACCUGAAACCGUGUGCUUACAAGUAGUCAGAGCCCGUUAAUGGGUGAUGGCGUGCCUUUUGUAGAAUGAACCGGCGAGUUACGAUUUGAUGCAAGGUUAAGCAGUAAAUGUGGAGCCGUAGCGAAAGCGAGUCUGAAUAGGGCGUUUAGUAUUUGGUCGUAGACCCGAAACCAGGUGAUCUACCCUUGGUCAGGUUGAAGUUCAGGUAACACUGAAUGGAGGACCGAACCGACUUACGUUGAAAAGUGAGCGGAUGAACUGAGGGUAGCGGAGAAAUUCCAAUCGAACCUGGAGAUAGCUGGUUCUCUCCGAAAUAGCUUUAGGGCUAGCCUCAAGUGAUGAUUAUUGGAGGUAGAGCACUGUUUGGACGAGGGGCCCCUCUCGGGUUACCGAAUUCAGACAAACUCCGAAUGCCAAUUAAUUUAACUUGGGAGUCAGAACAUGGGUGAUAAGGUCCGUGUUCGAAAGGGAAACAGCCCAGACCACCAGCUAAGGUCCCAAAAUAUAUGUUAAGUGGAAAAGGAUGUGGCGUUGCCCAGACAACUAGGAUGUUGGCUUAGAAGCAGCCAUCAUUUAAAGAGUGCGUAAUAGCUCACUAGUCGAGUGACACUGCGCCGAAAAUGUACCGGGGCUAAACAUAUUACCGAAGCUGUGGAUUGUCCUUUGGACAAUGGUAGGAGAGCGUUCUAAGGGCGUUGAAGCAUGAUCGUAAGGACAUGUGGAGCGCUUAGAAGUGAGAAUGCCGGUGUGAGUAGCGAAAGACGGGUGAGAAUCCCGUCCACCGAUUGACUAAGGUUUCCAGAGGAAGGCUCGUCCGCUCUGGGUUAGUCGGGUCCUAAGCUGAGGCCGACAGGCGUAGGCGAUGGAUAACAGGUUGAUAUUCCUGUACCACCUAUAAUCGUUUUAAUCGAUGGGGGGACGCAGUAGGAUAGGCGAAGCGUGCGAUUGGAUUGCACGUCUAAGCAGUAAGGCUGAGUAUUAGGCAAAUCCGGUACUCGUUAAGGCUGAGCUGUGAUGGGGAGAAGACAUUGNNNNNNNNNNNNNNNNNNNNNNNNNNNNNNNNNNNNNNNNNNNNNGUCUUCGAGUCGUUGAUUUCACACUGCCGAGAAAAGCCUCUAGAUAGAAAAUAGGUGCCCGUACCGCAAACCGACACAGGUAGUCAAGAUGAGAAUUCUAAGGUGAGCGAGCGAACUCUCGUUAAGGAACUCGGCAAAAUGACCCCGUAACUUCGGGAGAAGGGGUGCUCUUUAGGGUUAACGCCCAGAAGAGCCGCAGUGAAUAGGCCCAAGCGACUGUUUAUCAAAAACACAGGUCUCUGCUAAACCGUAAGGUGAUGUAUAGGGGCUGACGCCUGCCCGGUGCUGGAAGGUUAAGAGGAGUGGUUAGCUUCUGCGAAGCUACGAAUCGAAGCCCCAGUAAACGGCGGCCGUAACUAUAACGGUCCUAAGGUAGCGAAAUUCCUUGUCGGGUAAGUUCCGACCCGCACGAAAGGCGUAACGAUUUGGGCACUGUCUCAACGAGAGACUCGGUGAAAUCAUAGUACCUGUGAAGAUGCAGGUUACCCGCGACAGGACGGAAAGACCCCGUGGAGCUUUACUGUAGCCUGAUAUUGAAAUUCGGCACAGCUUGUACAGGAUAGGUAGGAGCCUUUGAAACGUGAGCGCUAGCUUACGUGGAGGCGCUGGUGGGAUACUACCCUAGCUGUGUUGGCUUUCUAACCCGCACCACUUAUCGUGGUGGGAGACAGUGUCAGGCGGGCAGUUUGACUGGGGCGGUCGCCUCCUAAAAGGUAACGGAGGCGCUCAAAGGUUCCCUCAGAAUGGUUGGAAAUCAUUCAUAGAGUGUAAAGGCAUAAGGGAGCUUGACUGCGAGACCUACAAGUCGAGCAGGGUCGAAAGACGGACUUAGUGAUCCGGUGGUUCCGCAUGGAAGGGCCAUCGCUCAACGGAUAAAAGCUACCCCGGGGAUAACAGGCUUAUCUCCCCCAAGAGUUCACAUCGACGGGGAGGUUUGGCACCUCGAUGUCGGCUCAUCGCAUCCUGGGGCUGUAGUCGGUCCCAAGGGUUGGGCUGUUCGCCCAUUAAAGCGGUACGCGAGCUGGGUUCAGAACGUCGUGAGACAGUUCGGUCCCUAUCCGUCGUGGGCGUAGGAAAUUUGAGAGGAGCUGUCCUUAGUACGAGAGGACCGGGAUGGACAUACCUCUGGUGUACCAGUUGUCGUGCCAACGGCAUAGCUGGGUAGCUAUGUGUGGACGGGAUAAGUGCUGAAAGCAUCUAAGCAUGAAGCCCCCCUCAAGAUGAGAUUUCCCAACUUCGGUUAUAAGAUCCCUCAAAGAUGAUGAGGUUAAUAGGUUCGAGGUGGAAGCAUGGUGACAUGUGGAGCUGACGAAUACUAAUCGAUCGAAGACUUAAUCAA
rnacentral:rRNA from 1 species